rnacentral:rRNA from 1 species
CUCCGGUUGAUCCUGCCGGACCCGACUGCUAUCAGAGUGGGACUAAGCCAUGCGAGUCAACAUAGCAAUAUGUGGCAUACGGCUCAGUAACACGUAGUCAACAUGCCCAGGGGACGUGGAUAACCUCGGGAAACUGAGGAUAAACCGCGAUAAGUCACUACUUCUGGAAUGGGUAAUGACUCAAAUCUACAUGGCCCCUGGAUUGGACUGCGGCCGAUCAGGCUGUUGGUGAGGUAAUGGCCCACCAAACCUGUAACCGGUACGGGCUCUGAGAGGAGGAGCCCGGAGAUGGGCACUGAGACAAGGGCCCAGGCCCUAUGGGGCGCAGCAGGCGCGAAACCUCUGCAAUAGGCGAAAGCCUGACAGGGUUACUCUGAGUGAUUUCCGUUAAGGAGAUCUUUUGGCACCUCUAAAAAUGGUGCAGAAUAAGGGGUGGGCAAGUCUGGUGUCAGCCGCCGCGGUAAUACCAGCACCCCGAGUGGUCGGGACGUUUAUUGGGCCUAAAGCAUCCGUAGCCGGUUCUACAAGUCUUCCGUUAAAUCCACCUGCUUAACAGAUGGGCUGCGGAAGAUACUAUAGAGCUAGGAGGCGGGAGAGGCAAGCGGUACUCGAUGGGUAGGGGUAAAAUCCGUUGAUCCAUUGAAGACCACCAGUGGCGAAGGCGGCUUGCCAGAACGCGCUCGACGGUGAGGGAUGAAAGCUGGGGGAGCAAACCGGAUUAGAUACCCGGGUAGUCCCAGCUGUAAACGAUGCAGACUCGGUGAUGAGUUGGCUUAUUGCUAACUCAGUGCCGCAGGGAAGCCGUUAAGUUUGCCGCCUGGGGAGUACGGUCGCAAGACUGAAACUUAAAGGAAUUGGCGGGGGAGCA